GAUGAAGAACGUAGCGAAAUGCGAUAAGUAAUGUGAAUUGCAGAAUUCAGUGAAUCAUCGAAUCUUUGAACGCACAUUGCGCCCGCCAGUAUUCUGGCGGGCAUGCCUGUCCGAGCGUCAUUUCAACCCUCGAACCCCUCCGGGGGGUCGGCGUUGGGGAUCGGCCCUUUACGGGGCCGGCCCCGAAAUACAGUGGCGGUCUCGCCGCAGCCGCUCCUGCGCAGUAGUUUGCACACUCGCAUCGGGAGCGCGGCGCGUCCACAGCCGUUAAACACCCCAAACUUCUGAAAUGUUGACCUCGGAUCAGGUAGGAAUACCCGCUGAACUUAAGCAUAUCAAUAAGCGGAGGA
rnacentral:misc_RNA from 1 species